rnacentral:lncRNA from 1 species
AAAACUCCACCUCCAGCCUGGACCUACGGGUUAGUAUACACCGCUUGCCCCUACUCGUAUGGAGGAGUUUUUAUUUGGAGAGGUUCAGUACCACCGUGGUGACAGAGAGACUCGAACUCGAGACCUCUGGCACUCAUCUAUGAGAAGGAAAUACCACUAGGAUACCAUCACUUCUCUAAAAACUGUUAGAGUAAACUUUUUAUAGUGACAGACCCCACCGCAAAGCGGCCUCAUAUCCAGGAAAAACUCCACCUCCAGCCUGGACCUACGGGUUAGUAUACACCGCUUGCCCCUACUCGUAUGGAGGAGUUUUUAUUUGGAGAGGUUCAGUACCACCGUGGUGAUAGAGAGACUCGAACUCGAGACCUCUGGCAGUCAUCUGUGAGAAGGAAAUACCACUAGGAUACCAUCACUUCUCUAAAAACUGUUAGAGUAAACUUUUUAUAGUGACAGACCCCACCGCAAAGCGGCCUCAUA